ncrna:unclassified sequences Type-P5 twister ribozyme ribozyme sequence
CGCAGAGUGACGCCCGCAAGGGCGGUAAUGCGGAAGGCCGGUCACAAGCCCGG